GUAUUAGAUCAAAAACUAAAACUUUCUGUUUACACACAGGCCAGGUAUAUAGGGGGAGGGUCCAGUGUUUUCAAGCUUCCCCACACAGCGCCGCACAUCUACCUAAACUCUGAUUUGAAAGGACCACUAACUGCUGGGGUGAGAGAAGAAAAUUCAUUAUUCCAUAUUCAUUCCAUCAC
rnacentral:sRNA from 1 species